GUCAGUUCUCUGUUGGCCCUGUCUUGUCUCUGUUGUUUUUUUCCCCUUUCUCCUCCCACUACUGCUGCCAGCUGAUUGAGCGCACCUGGUUUUCAUUCCACAAUCACCUUCUCCCACUACACGCACCUACCGCCCAUCUACAAUCAAGAUCAGUACUUCAACCCAGGCUCAACAGACCAUCUUCGCUUGAUCGUUACUCAAGUCACCCUGUUACCAUCCCACACCUGUCUGUCGUCUCCAGUCAGCAGGCAUCUCCAUUCGGUCCCCCUCCCACGGCACUCUGCUUCAAUCUGCCUCCGUCUUCACUCCUGACCAUCCACUCCUCGGCUCCCCAGCCCCAGUGCCUCCCCCUCGGCUUCUCGGCCCCGGUCUCCCCGUACCCCCCCUGAGUGCUCUCGCUCUUCAAGUGCCUUUGCCAUCCUACUCCUCGCUCCUGAGCCCUCGCCAUCCUACCUGCCUCUUCCCCUGUCCCUGGCGUCCACCUCCCCACUCCCUUUUACCUUCUUUUCCAAAUAAACCUUUGACUUUGAGCCUA